GUUAUGUUGUUAUUGGGUGAUUAAUGUUUGUGUUUAUGGAGUUAAUUUGUUUAAAUUAAAUGGAUUUUAUUAAGUUAUAAACACAAAUACGUUUUGAAGCGUGAAUGAAGGAAAAAUUAAUUACCAAGGACGAACCUUACAUUAGGAUAAUAUCACCACCUAAACACAGAAGUAGCACUCCAGGAACCUUACGUCGAAAAACUUGGAAUUGAUGGUGGUCAAGUGUACGUUGUCGUCUUCGUCGUAGACAAUUACUCUUUGACCGCAGUACUCUUAUGGAAAAACCAAUUAAACUUGCGUAAGCCGAUAGCCGCGGCAUCCCGUUUUGUUAAUAGGCGACGACGAUGGUUUGCCGGCCUCCUUCGCGAAGAGAAGUAGCAAAAGAGGGUAAAACAAGACGAGAGUCGAUCAAAAAAAAGGCCGCCCGGUUUUAAUGGAAAACUCGCCUCGCGUAUUUGCGUUUCUAAUAUCGAGAUCAAUUAUCUAGAAAUUUUUACGGGCUGAAACCAGUUGUUGCCAACCCGCUGACAAUUUGCGGGAACGAAAACGCGCCAAUCAAGGAGGAGAACGAAGAAGUCGACGACGGCAAAAAUGAAUUAAUCCCCGUCCGUUUUUGUAUGAUUUUUUUUCAAGUCCCCCUUAGUUUUGCGGACAUCGAGAAUAAAUGAAAACAGAAGUAGAGAGAAUUUCGUGACUGCGACAUCACGUCGUCCUUUGGUUGGUUUUGUGCUUGCUUGUUACCUCGUUAUAUUAGGGCGAAUACAUUAGUCGUAACGACUGAGUCAAUAUUGGAACCACGUUUUAGCACGUCAAUGGUAAUGGGUUUGAAUUUUCCUGUUACAAAUGCGGGUGGCAUUCAGAAACGGAAGCAUUAACACUUUACUGUUUGUUUUAAAAGGGGACAUAUUUUCGUAUUUAUUUUUGAAAAAAGAAAAAAAUUAAAAAUUUUUUUUAAGAUAAACGAUGAAGAAAGUUGGUUUGGUUUAACGAUGGUAUUUUUGUCGUUGUAACUUUGUCAAUCGUAAUCUCGGUUGAAAAUCGUCUUUAAAAUGUACCGUUUUUUUGUUACCAUCGAUUCGAUGGUAAGUAAGUAAAAGGUAGUGAAAAGGU